AAAUUAUAGGUGAAUGUUCACAGGUUGUAACUCAUCAAGUUAAAUUGAGCUCAUCUAUACAUAAAAGAGUACUGUAUUUUAGUAACAUCUAUACACAAAAAGAACACUUAAAAUAUUUUCCUUAAUACAUGUAAAAAAUGACAAAAGAUGUUUGUAUAGGUCCUGUCUUUAAAAACAGACGUAGGUGGUCGCUUAUUGUUUUAAUGACAACAAAAUUUUAAUUACUAAUAUAAAGUAUUUUCUUGAGUAUGUGUUACAAAUAAUAGGAUAUAAUAUCAAGCAAGUGAUGACAUUGGAAGGGCAUAAAUCCACUUAGGAUGAGUGCAAUAGAAGCUAGCCCAUCGGAGAUAAUUUAAUCAUAAAAGCAAUCAUUAGAAGAUAAAUAGUCCUAAAUGAAUCUGAUAUAUCUCCUAAAAUAGAGAUUAAAAUCAAAACAUAAAAUAUUUGUACUGUAUUUCAAGAAAGAAGGUUCAGAUGAUUGAUCUAGUACAAGUGCAUCAAAAGAGAUGUAUAAUAGUCACAAGACCAAUAUUACUUAAAAGAUGACAGAGAAUGUAUAUCGAAAAAUAUACUUAUAUACAGGAGUGUAAAGAACAGAAAAAAUCCAAUAAAGAAAAAUUCCACUUAGAGGCGAGAUUCAGAGUUGGUGAAUAUGGCGAGAUUCAGAGUUCUGUUUCUACGACACCAUUGGAAGUUGCUCUUUCUCUUAUCCAUUGCCGUUGUUGUCAACACCAUGAGAAAGAGAUGACGAAAACAUGAACAAGCAAGACGGAACAAAUCAAAGAUGGAAAGCGAGAACAUGAAGUCAUGAACAGGAAACACAUAUAAACAGAUGUUACAGCAACACACGAAGACGGAAAACUCAGCAAGGAUCGACACAUAGAACGCGUAGAAACAGAACUGAAGGCACUCAAUAAAUAAUACUUUGCUAUAGUCCAAUUUAACUAAAACCAAGGGCAAUGAGUUAAAAAAUAUUACUUUGCUUUAGUCCAAUUUAUAGGCAUUCAGGUCAAUUUUCAAAAGGCAAUGAUAAAAGAAGUGAAAGGGACCGAAAAGGGUCGUAUGUCCCUUUCAUUUUAGUAUAUCCAUGAAGUAGCAUACAUUUGGAAUCACAUUCAAUUGUCUAGAAAACACACGACUUUACAGAAGCUACAAAGUAUAGCUUUAUAAAACCAUGGUGAGAGCUCAUUGAGACGCGAGAAAUAUGUUCCAAAUGCAAAUCCAAACAGACUGGUACACAUUAUCAAAUUUCAAAAAAAGCAGCAAAAAAUCAGAUAAAUACAACAAAUUGGUAUUAAAAUGGGUCAAAAUAUCACUGCAUUGCAAUGUAAAGAUAUAUAGUUGAUGUAAUAUAUCUUUUUUGAAAAUCUUAAUGGACACAAAAUCAUUUUAUUAGAAAGAUAGCAUUUUCAUUUUUUCUGCUAAAUCUAUGUAAUUACUACUAGGGAAGGUGUUUUGGUCUAUUACAACUUGAUAGCGAGACAUCUAAUUUAUUCAUUUGGGGUUGAGAUGCCGAUCAGUACAAUGUAAAUCUGUGAAAACACCGUGAUCGGGUGUAUUUUGACAACAGCCAAGUUAACAUUUUUAUAAUUUUUGUUAUGAAACAUGGCAUCCAUGGAUGAAGGAGAGAAAAACUAUGAAAAUAUUGUAUUGAUGGUAAAGAAUAAUAUUACAAAUGAUUGAAUUGACCCACUAAUGGGGUGGUUACAACUAUAUAUACUACUCUAGGACUAAUACUAAUUGUGACUAAACUAUAUCUCUAAUAAUUUUCAAAUUAAAAUUUGUUAAAAAAAGGAAUGAGAGCCAUGUCGGUUUCAUUAAAAAAAGUAUUGUUAGCUAUGUGUAUAAAUGUGUUUCAAUCAUAAAUAAUUUAUGAGAUGUUUUCUCUUCGAAAAAUAAAUGAGUUGAAGAGCAAGAUUUUAGGGUUAUAAAGAGGUUGCUUAUGCAAUCUGGUGCAGAAUGAUGGUACAAGUUUAAUUAGCAUGUCAAUAUGUACAAAUAUAAACAUCUGAUCUGAAGCAAAACAAGUCCCUGAAAUAUUCCAAACUCAUAAUUAAAAACAUCUUCUAUGAAACACUAUCUAACACAAACACGGACACUUGACAAAUCCGACUCUCCUACAGUUAGAGGAUCUCACAUUCACGUAAUCAGGACCACAACUUUCAAAUGUUAAAUUCAGUAGCCUCAAUCAAGCAAUAAGCCAAAUCAAGAAUAAAUUCUUAGUGAAUAAGCAGCAAAAAAGAAAUUAUUACAUCUCAAGUAUCGCCAAUGCAGUUCGUGCAAGAAACAAAAACAUCAACAAUUAAUGUGCGACAGACAGACAACUAAGAUCAAUAUGUAUCAUACCAUUACUAACAAAACCUCUAAUACAAAGAGGCUAACAGAAAUUUAAUCUGAAAAAAAACUAUAUGCUAGAUUGUUAUCCAUUUUAUAUAAUAGGAAAUCUUUAAUAAUGCUUGAUAUGUAAAAUCAUAACAUUAUGAGUUGAGUUAACAAAUCAAAUCACAAGCAUUCACGAAGUUAGAAAUAUAACAGUAUAGCUUAAUUCUUUUGGAUGUGUUCUGAACCUCUGAGAAAAAAAAAAAUUACUGCAGACAUGUGAGCAGUACAUCAAAUCAAUGCCAGUAAAUUAAAAAAAAAAAAUAUUAACCAUCAAGCUUCAGCUAAAACAUGCAAAAAGGCUGGCUGAACAUCAAGCUUCCAUUUUUAGAGUAGAGUCAAAACUUAAAACAACAUAUCUAUGAAUGAAGUUCAUGCAUUAUUAGAGAUUUCUCCUUUCUUUAUCCAUGAAUGAAGUUAAUCUCGAAAGAUAAAUAGACACACAAUAAAUAUGUAAUUCUAUUAUUAGAGAUUAAGUUUGCAUCACCAACAAAUAUGAAUUCUAUGUUCAAUAAAUAUGAUUACGGCAUAAGGCUCUCAACAACAUGAUCAAACAAUGUAUGAGUUUCAUGCCUCAAGUAAUUAUUAGUAGCAAGCACUUUAACGCUACAAUAGGAAAGUUCAAUAUGCUAGUCCCCAUCUGAUAAGUGCAGCAGGAUCAAGCAUCUGCACAUAGUUGGUGGUGAAAACUAUCAAUCUUUCCCAUCCAAAUGCAGACUAUGAAACCUGAUUACCAUCUAUUAACAAAUAUAUAAAAGAUUCCUGUGCAGUAGUUACCACAAGAUAACAAGUUUACAAUCAACAUCAAUGAAAAAAUAAGUGUUAUCAUAGAGGUUCUUCUAUUAUUCCAAUCUAAUUGUGAAACUGAUCUAAGAUAUUGGGGAUUAUAAACGGAGUUACAAUUGUAACAACCUGUUCUACUCCGCCAAUGUUGACUACAAUCAAAUACCAGAUCACAUAAUUAAAAAAAUGGAUGAAUACCACAAAACAUUUAGAGACGUCAAGUAAAAUCAAUUUGAAACAUACAUAUCUUAAUCCUCGGUAAUAAUUUUACAGGAAAAGAUAGGAUUAACAAAAAACAAAUAAGCACAUGGUGUGAAAAAAAGAAAGAUAAUCCAAAUUAAUUACCAUAAAGCAAAAUCUCGAUUGCAGCAUACAAAGUGCAGACUGAAAGCAAGUAAAUAAAAAUAAAAAGUGCAGACUGAAAAACCCUAACCUAAAAAGAAAACGAAAAUACUGAAAGAAAAAUUUAUUCAUGGAUAGCUAAUAAUUCUAUUCUAGGGCAUGACACUUUGCUUCAUGACAAGUUCAUCAGCCCUUUCAACAAGCUUCCUCCUUAACUCGUAAAUGGACACCAUAAAUUGUUCAAGCUGAUCACUACUCAUAUCAUCAAUUGAAUCAUUCCACCAGUCACCCUUGUUGAAAAUCUUAGCCAAAUUUUGAACAUCUUCUAGUUUCUUCUUUUCCGUCUCCAACAUCUUUUGUGCCUCCUCAUAUUGUCUAUUGUAAUCUUUGCAAGUCGGAGAAUUUUCUGCUGACUUUGAAUCCUCAAACUCAGUGGUUCCUUUGAUGUAGCUAUUGAGGACAACGUUAGUGUCGGGUUGCCCAAAACAGUAGAGUUUGUCACCAGGGGAAAACACAAUGAUGGCUGCAUGAACAUCACAUAAGACACAAAGUUCGCUUGCUUUUCUGAAUAAACCUUGUCUUCUUUUUGAGAAAGUGACAAGUUUGUUGGAAUCUUUCUCAACCUUCUUGAUCUCAAUCUUCUGGCGCCCCAUGUUCUUCUUUCUUUGGUUAACCAUAUCCAUGGUGAUGCUGAAAUUGCAUUCUUGUAAAACUUGAUAGAGAUUUAUUUAUAGGGAAAGAACCGUGUGACAUAAAUUAAGAUCCUACAAUUUCUCCCUAUCUAAGAUUCUAGAUCAAUUUAUUUUAGACUAAAAAGAUUCUAAACCAAAAAAUUAUUAACUCUUACAUAUUGAGAAAAAAUUUAUAUUCCAUUUUUUAUCAAACUGUUUUAAGACUGUAAAUAAAAGAGUUUUAAGAAGGUAAAUAAAAGAAUUACAUUUUGUCAAAAAAAAUAUUAUAUGAGGUCCCUUCAAAAAAAAUAUUUAGAUGAGGUUUUGCUUGGUUAGAAAUAUUUUAGUUUUUUUUGGUAGUGCGAAAUAUUUUUGUUUAUCAAUAUAAAUUUUGAUUGCCAUUUUAUCACGUAAAAUUGUGUUUUUUUUUACUGGAAUCAUGCCAUAAAAAAAGUUCCUAAAACUUCUCCCUAUCUAAGAUUUUAAAUCAAUUCCUUAAAAAAAAAAAAGAUUCUAAAUCAAUUAUGCAUUAACUCUUACAUAUUGCCAAAAAAUUUAUAUUCCUUUUUCAUGAAAACAAUUUUUUAUUGCUAUUUUAUCUCCUAAAAUUGCUUGAUUUUCUAGAGCAAAAAAAAAAUGCUAAUUAUAUAUGGUUCUAGUUUUGGUUUUUCUUUGUUUUGCUUGAAAUAGUGAAAUAGGAAGAGUUUCUGUAUCCCAAUGCUCAAACAUUUAUUUUUGGAAGAAAAAAACAACCAAGUCAUAACAUCGUUAGAGAAUAAAAAAAAUUCAUAAAGUUUUUACAUAAUCCCUUUUUUUAAUUAGGACUUAAUUGCACUUUUGGACCCCUACCUUUCCAAAAGUUGCGGUUAUGUACCCCUAACUAAUUUAAAUACAAAAGUUGCGGUUAUGUACCCCUAUGUUUUGAUUCUUUGGCAGUUUUAGACCCCAAGGCAAAAUAAAAAAUAAAAAUUAUACGUGGCACCUCACUUAGGGUGCCACGUCAGCGUUGACCGAGUCAACAAUGGACGGGGGUUCAAAACUGCCAAAUAAUCAAAACAUAGGGGGCUGUUUUGUAUUUAAAUUAGUUAGGGGUCCAUAACCGCAAUUUUUAGAAAGAUAGGGAUCCAAAAGUGCAAUUAAGCCUUUAAUUAAAAGUUUUAUAAUAUUGUUUAUCCAAGCUAAUUAGAGGUAGAAUGUUGUUAAAUAACAUCUAAAUCGUGAUUGUAUUUUUUUUGUGACUUUCUUUUUUGUGGUAUGAGUAGUAGUGAUUAAUAAAGUUUUGCUUGUUAAGAAAAGAUAAAGUACAAUGGAAAACUAAGAUGUUAAAAUAAGCAAUUAUUAUUAUUAUUACCAAAUAAUUUAGGUAAAGCACGUUUACACUGAAUCAAUACUUGGUUCAAUCAGUAGGCUUAAAAGAGAUAAUUUCUUUUUCUAGGUCAUAGUCAAUUAACAAGUUAUUUUGAGCUAUGUUCCCAAAUAUUUCAAGGCCGUUAGAUGAGAUGAAACCAAAGCACAUAAUCCCAUCUUCAAAUGGAAAAAAUGUUCCAUUAGAAUUUAGCUUAACAUCUGCACCAUUAAAAUGUGCAGUAAUGUCAGGAACAUUUAGUUGUUUACCAGUGGUAUUGUAGCAGAGGCUUAAAUGAUGAUCAGGUGGUUCGAUACGUGGUAGUUUAACCUCUUGUGCCACAUAUGAUACCAACUUAGACAAAAAAAGAUUUGGCAACAUAGUAAGCGGUGUACCUGAGUCAAUUAGGAUGUUCUGAGUAGAAGCAUUUGAUCUUUCUCCAUAUUCUAUUCUAUUGUUUCCUACACUAAAUGCUUCUAAUGUUAGAAAAUAAUAGUUUUCUUGACCAUUGACUUUGACCAUAGGAGUUGAAACAACAAUUUCACCAGAAACAACAACAUCUUCUCCAAAAAUAAGUUUGCUAGAUGAGUUAGAAUCACUAUUAUAAGGAAUCAAACAGUAAGAGAAUUUGCUACCAACUGACGACGAGCCUACUUGUUUUAUAAGCGACAUUGGUCCCCUUCCCAUUCCAACUACACCCGAGCUUUGACUGUUAUCUUGUAGCACAUUGAUGUGUCCACAUCCUAUCACAAUGUUAGGAAAUAAGACACUAGAUCCUGAGGUGGAAUCUAAUGUUAAACUAUCAUUACUAAGAUCCCCUUGUGACUUUGCAUCACCACCAUAUGUAAUAGAAUAUUCACAAACAUCUCCUCCAUUGGAACAAGAGAUAUGUGUAUCAUUUGUAUCUUUACAUGUACUAGAAGUGCAGGGAAUAUUUUUGUAACUUGAAGAUUUUGAAGGAUUAAAUAUAGGAGAGGUUUGAUUGAAACAUGUAUUACAAGGCUGGCAUUGAAGCCAAACUAUGUUACUACCUGUAUCCAUAAAACCUUAAACUUUAAAGGGUGGGGUACCAACUGAGUAACUAAUGAGAUACUCACCUAAUUCUGGGGUUAAAGUUGAUACAGGUUGAUUUUUAUUGAGAGAGAAUUCUUUGGUGAAGUAAUUGACACGAUUGAUUGAACGAUGCACAACAUUAUAAGCUCUUUGAAAUUUAGUUACUGUGGGAUGGUAUAGGGGUGAUUUUGAGAAGUCACGGUGAAUCAUUUCAAUACUUAAACCUUUUUUCGAAGCAUGAGAAAAAUAAAUGAAACAACAAAGAUAAAAGAAAAUAAGCGUCAAAACUGAAAAACGAGACAUUAUUGCUAGAGGUUUGAGAGUAUAGUGACACAAGUUAUGUAUUUAUUUGAAUUUCCUUCAACAACAAUCAAAAAUGCAUUUAUUUGACUUUACUACUAUGCCAUUAUCUUUGACCAAUGUCUUCAAGCAAAAAAAUCUUUGACUAAAAAUCUUUGACCAAUAUCUUCAAGUAAAUAAUUGUUAUUCAAAUUCUGUGUUUUUUCUAUAAUAUCCUUAAUAAUUUAUUAUUGUAUUGGGCAAAUUACACUUACAUUCUCUGAGAUUUCUUUAAAUAACACACAAACCCCCUCUAGUUUAGAAAUGAACAUUGACCUCCCUUAUUUGUUGACGGCGUUGAUGCUCAGUUAACAUUAGAUUUCUUGGCUACUGUGAAAAUUUGUGGAAUACAAAUUGAGGAAGGGUCAAUUCCUAAUCAAUUUUCACCCACACCCUUUUUUUUAUAGUGAGAAAAAUAUUAUAUUUGUUUUUUAUUUGGUUUUUAAUCAUUUAACAUUAGAGCACUGCUCUGUGAUUUUGAUAGCCAGCGUAAUAAAUGUUGAAAAUGGAGAAGAUAAUCAUCUUCUAACGGUGGGAAGUAGAUAAAAUAAAAUAUGGACAAAGAUUAUAACUUAUAAGCUAAUUGCAAAAUCACCCUUUCCCAUUCGUCUUCAUCAACGUGGCUUGAGUUGACUGAUUUUUAUGGCUUGAGGAGUUCAUUUUUCGACAUUGUUUUAGUUUUUGCUUCAUCAUAUGUGGUUUUCUUCCUUUUUUCAUAUUCUACAUUAUAAGGUUUUUUUUUUUUUUCAAUUGUUAGUGAAUUAUGUACCAGAAAUUAUUAUGUUGCAUGGUUGUAGAAAAAUCUUCUUUUGUUAUGGUAAGAUAUUGACACAAUUAUUAUUUUAGGUUCUGGUAUUGUAGUUGAAUUUUUUUAAUGCAUGUGGGUUAUUUUAGUUUUUGUAAGUAAUCCUAAAGUUGUAACAGUUUUUAUAUUUGGUUUAUUCUUUCCUAUAUCAUUGAGCCGUACAAAAUUUGACCGGUGUAAAUUUGUUUUGGUCAUAUCAGUGAGGUCCAGAAAGUUAAUGAUAUCUAAAUUUGAUCACAUAGAAAUAUGUUAGCUUCUUUCGAUAUCAGAAUGAACAAAGGAAAUAAAAUGAAAUGAUGUAUUAUUGUAUUUCUAUAUAGGACUUUCAAUGUCAAGGGAUUAUGACUACAUUAAGGAUCUCAAAAAUGAUUUGGACAUUUGGAAAAUAGAAUUUGGAGUGCUGGAUUCUUGGAUUGUGACUGAUAGUAAUGAGAAUCAACAUAUGAAGCUCAUUAUUUGUGAUGCAAAGGUUAGAUGAGUUAGUUAAGAUUUGUUGUAAUUUCCUUUAUGAUUUAUCAAUGUUACUUAUUAGUGUACAUUUUGAUUUAUUUAUAUUUUUUGGUUUCUUUCUCGAAUUUAGGGUGAUCGAGUUCAUGUAAUAUACUCAUUAUCACCGACAGAGCAAGCUAUGAAAAAUACUUGGGUGGACAAUGAUUCAAUUUCUGCAGAGAACGUGUGAUGGAAGAAGGUGGUACGCUCAACUUUGAUCUCGAAAAGUCACCGAAGAACUUGCACGUUCGAGUUGUUCCAAAGUAGAUCUUUGUUGCUGAACUAUUUGAACUUCUAGUAUUUUGAUGUAUCGCUUUGGACUGUAAUCGUAAAUUAUAUUGACUUUGGGAUGCCAUUUGUUCUUUUCACUUUGUCUAAUGUAAAUAUUGGCAAAAAUUCUUUUUUGAUUAGUCUAUGACACUUGCAGUCUCUUUUAUAAACCUAACUAUUAUGUAACGUUAAUCUGCACAUUGUUGGUUCCUUCAUUGGUUUCAAUUAGUAUCAUGUUAAUUAUAAUGUUGUUUUUCCAAUCGCUUGAACAAAAUAGAACAUGCUCUUUUACUACAGCAAAUCUUUAUAAUGCUUUGGUAAAUAUUUUAGAAACGUACACACACACACACACAAUAUAUAUAUAUAUAUAUAUAUAUAUAUAUAUAUAUAUAUAUAUAUAAAACAUCUAAUUAACACUACAAUUUGUUUUGUACCUAGCACUUUUCAAAUGAGAUAUCAAAGACAUUUCUAAAAGGAACACGGAAAACAAUCACACUCAUCGACAAACAAGCUCAAAAAAGGUAUAAGUGUCGGCAAAGAGAGUAAGUUACGAAAAAUACGUAGGUGGUCAAUGGUUCAACUUUUGCCGAGAACAUAUAUUAGAGGUAGGUGAUAAGCUAAUUUUUGACCUAGAGAAGCCACCCAAAAAUAUGCACGUUCAAGUCAUUCCCAAAUAAAGAUUUUGUGUUCAUGAUCCGCACUUUCAACAGAUCACCUUAAUUCUAAUCCUAUACUAGAUUAUCUUCACUCACUAAUGCUACUUCUUUGCUUCAUUUCAUCUGUUUUAAAUAUGGGUAUCAAUCCUUUUUUGGUAACUCUAUAACAACAAUUCUCUUUUUUAUAAUUUUGGAUAAUAUGUAAUCAUAAUUCACACAUCAUUGUUUCCUUUAUUGGUUCCAAUUGUUUUCAUCCUAAAUAUUAUGUCAAUUCCUAAUCUCAUAAACUAAUUAUAUGCUCUCUUAAUCAGCCCAUACAUAUUUUAUGAUGAAUCACAAUGUUCCGUCGUUUUAACAUCUCUUCUUUCGAAGAAUUUUUUUAUUGAAUAUAUUAUUGAACCCGUGGGAAGCACGGGUUUGUAAUUAGUUGAUCAUUGAAAAUACACACACGUACUGAACCAAUUCUUCUAUAAUUACCUUCAUAUGAUGAAUGAUGGCGCCACAUAGCAACAAUUGAGGAAAAACUCUACAAUUUGCUAUUGUAGUAAUCUACAACUCUCUCUCAAUUUAGACAUCUAAGGUUCUAUUUUGUUUUCUAUUUUAAGUUUUUCUUUUAACACAUGUCUUCUUCUACUUCUACUUCUUCUUCAAACUGAAUAUGGGUUAGGUAGAAGGAAGCAAGAUUCCAAAGUGGGAUCUUAGUAUGGCAGCAUUAAUUAGUAUUAAAAGUAAGUAUUUUUGUAUCGUCUCUUUAAGGACUGGUGUGAUGUUUAAGUCGAUCAACACUUAAAUAUGAUUUUAAGUGAUAUAAUUGUAAGGUGUUUGGUUUCAUAAUCUAUAAAUAUGGUUUCAAAAUUUUUUGCAUGGGUAUAUUUCAAUUUUUUUACCGAGAUGGCGUAAUUGUUGAAUCAUUCAAUUGGUUGGUUAGUUUGUUAGAAUGCUUGUAUCAUAAGAAAAUUUGUUAGAUGGAAGUUUUACUCAUACAAUAAGCCUAUAUAAGGCAUUGGUUGAUCAAUAAGAUUUAGUUGAACAUUUUCACCAAAAUCUCUUUUCAAUCUUUGUUCUUACCUCAUACGCUCGAUAUUAGAAUUCCUACAAAGAGAUAUAAGUGUGUCCAUUUCUAUUAAUCAUAUUCAUUUGAUCCUUUCUCCACCUCUCCAACUAAUUAUCGAUUAUGUUUUACUUAAAAAGCACAAGAUAAAAAUUUGUUAUGAAAAAAAUUGAAAGAAUCACAUCACAUAUAUUCAUUAUUGAUACAAAAAUCACGGGAUAAAUAGUUGUCAUUGAUGAAUAAAAAAUAUGGGAAAAAUAUUUUCCGUUGAUGCAUAAAAAUGACAAGACUAAUAUAUGUUCCAAAUACAUAAAAAAAUAUGAAAGAAACACUUUUCUUUGAAAAAGUGUUUCUUUCAAAGCACGAGAUAUAAGCACGAGAUAUAUAUUUAUCAUUGAUACGUAAAAAAAAUACGAGACAAAUAUUUGUGACUUAUAAAUAUAAAAAUAGAGGGAAAGUAUUUUUUAAAGCUACAUAAAAAAAUGAGACACAUAUUUAUCGGAAAGUAUUUUUCAAAGCUACAUAAAAAAAUGAGACACAUAUUUAUCACCAAUAAAUAUGAAAAAGAAACACGAUCAUAAGAUAAAUAUUUGUCAUUGAAGCAUAAAAAUAAACAUGAGAUAAUAAAUAUUUUUCAUUGAUAAAUAGAAAGGAAAAAAAAACAAGGGAUAAAUAUUUGUCAUUGGUACGUAAAAUAACACAAGGCUCCAUCAAUUCAGGAAGUCAUUCAGCUUAGUCAGAGAAAUUGGCUCUUUGCAAAAUUGUGAUCUUAUCAACAGGAAUCACUUGAGAUUUAAUAGCAAGGAGAUCAACUUCAGAUCAGUUAUAUUAAUCUCAUCAUCUUAGGAACUGCCAUGAUAGGUAAUAACUCCAAGUGUGCUGCAAAUUAAACACUUCAAUUGUUGAUUUUGUGCUUCAUAAAGCACUACUGCACAUAUGACAUUUUGCAACAUUUUUGGGGUGACAAUUUUAAAAAAGUGUUACACACAUAAUUUAUUUUCAGUUUUAAGAGCACCCAUAAAAUAAAAUGUUACUCUAUAUUUCUUUUUGAACAAAUAAAACAAGGUAAAUGUUACCAACACUUCAGUGAUAACUCAACUCUCGUUCUCUAUUCUCUCUCUCACCAAAAAUCUCACCGAUCAAAAUGAAUCGACGACAACAAUCAAUCGCCACGGUCGCCGCCACAUCACCACCGUCAUGCAUCAUCGUCGUCACGCCAAUUCAGUUUUCUUUUCUCGACCACAAACAACAAAUCGAUCACAGAAGCAGAGCUAUUCACCACAUUAACGUUCUUUCUCUCUUCACAACCUCGAAUAAUCACUUUGAUUCUUCGUUCAGUUCACAACGUCAAUUCAUAGCUCGAUUCAUCAGCAUUCCAUUCAUUGCAGAAUCUUCAUCUUAGGGUUCGUGAUUUUGUUCUAAUUAAUUCAAUUUGAGAUAAGUGAUAAUUUGUGUUUUUGUUCUUAGUUAUAAUUUGUUGAUUCUGUUAUUCGUUAUUCAUUCAUUCAUUUGUUCAUGCUUAUGCUUUAGCUGAAGCUUAGCAAUCAUCGAUUUCGGUAACCACCAGUGUCCAACCAUCAAGAAUUCAACGAUAUCAAUCUUCGGAUUGCAGCUCUAGCUACCAAAAGACAGCAUUGUUUCCCUCGUUGUAUUAUUGUGAAAUUUGACAGUGAAAUUUUCUCUUGCAAGGUAUUAUUGUGUUGCAUAGGAGGUGUUUGAUAAAUUGUCUCAAUGAAAUUUGAACCUGUUUUGCAAUUGUUUUUGCAGGUUUUGGUGUUGGUUGAGGUUUCGGUGUUGGAUACGAUUUCAGAGGUCUCUUUCUGCACUGCCUUUAAUUUCUUCUCUAUGCUUCAAUUUUAAAUUCUCUAAAUUCUUUUAGGCUGCAAUUUUAUGUUGGACUUUGUUAAUCCAAAAGUGUUUUUUUUUUCUUUUCAAAUUCCCUUUUGUUCUAUUCUAAUGUCAAUGUUAUCACUUUAGACAUGCUCAUUAUGUAUGCUUAUAUAACUGAUUGUAUAUUGGUACUUAGUAGAGCUUUUAAUUCACAAGUUGGAAAGUUGUUUCUUGGCAGAGGAGGUAAAAUAGGUGAACUAGAAAUUUCUCAUAUUAUAGGGUAAAAUAUUGGUGGCAGGGAGUUAAAAAGUGUUGUAGUCCACAUUAUUAGAUUAUUAUAUGCACGUAGUCUAAUCGUAAUACACCCUACUAUUUUUUAUCAUAAUGCUACUCACAAACAUUACCUGGUCUCUAUCCUUGCAACAAAAAUCAUGGAUAGAGCCUAACCGGAUAUUUUAUAACCUUGCAGUAUAAUCUACAAAAUUUGAAGAUAUUGUAAGUGAUUUCAUGUUUCAAGUUCCUAUCAAUAUGUUUCAAGUAUAUGUCUAAAGACUUGCUAAAUUUGAAACAAGCAUAGCAUUUGAAAUAGAAUAGAGAUGAUGUCAGCGAGUAGAUAAUAUA
rnacentral:lncRNA from 1 species